rnacentral:tRNA from 1 species
GCCGGGAUAGUCUAGUGGUUAUGACGUCUGCCUUACACGCAGAAGGUCGCGAGUUGAAUCCUCGCUCCUGGUA